rnacentral:rRNA from 1 species
UACGUAGGUGGCAAGCGUUGUCCGGAAUUAUUGGGCGUAAAGCGCGCGCAGGCGGCCUCUUAAGUCUGAUGUGAAAGCCCCCGGCUCAACCGGGGAGGGCCAUUGGAAACUGGGAGGCUUGAGUAUAGGAGAGAAGAGUGGAAUUCCACGUGUAGCGGUGAAAUGCGUAGAGAUGUGGAGGAGCACCAGUGGCGAAGGCGACUCUUUGGCCUAUAACUGACGCUGAGGCGCGAAAGCGUGGGGAGCAAACAGG